rnacentral:rRNA from 1 species
AUUGAACGCUGGCGGCAGGCCUAACACAUGCAAGUCGAACGAGUGGCGGACGGGUGAGUAAUGUCUGGGAAACUGCCUUAUGGAGGGGGAUAACUACUGGAAACGGUAGCUAAUACCGCAUACCAUCGGAUGUGCCCAGAUGGGAUUAGCUAGUAGGUGGGGUAAAGGCUCACCUAGGCGACGAUCCCUAGCUUGUCUGAGAGGAUGACGAGCCACUCGGGGACGGGGACACGGUCCAGACUCCGACUGGAGGCAGCAGUGGGGAAUAUUGCAGAAUGGGCGCAAGCCUUAUGCAUCCAUGACGCGUGUAUGAAGAAGGCCUUCGGGUUGUAAAGUACUUUCAGCGGGGAGGCGUUACCCGCAGAAGAAGCACCUGCUAACUCCGUGCCAGCAGCCGCGGUAAUUC